rnacentral:lncRNA from 1 species
UGUGGGGUGUCUGUGUGUUUCCGGGCUGGGCCUGGGGUGGAAGUGGUGGGGGAAGCUUUGCUCCCGUGAGAUCCGAUACGCCCUUAUCCACCGGGACAUGUGCACUGGAUUCAGCUGGAGGGGCCCUUGCAGACUGUUGCUGGUUCGGCCGUGUGUGCCCACCCUGUUGGGUUUCUCCUGUUCUCUGCAUUAACUGCGGCUUCUGCCCAGUUUAAACAGAAGAUUAUUGAACUGGAAGCAGCAGCCGAUUGCUGUUUGCAGUAUCUUUACAGCUCCAAGUGGCCCACAGACGCCAUCCAGACUCAGGGCUUUAAAUACCAUCCAUAUGUUGAUGAAGCCAGAAUUCGUGUUGCCAGCGCUCAGGUGGCCCUGAACUCUAUUCCAACCGCCUGCUCAACAUUUCAUCUUGGAUUUUAAGAAGUAGCUCAAAGACAGCAGAUCCGAAGCUGGGCUCUCAAUGCUUCUCCCUGCGAGCACCAGAGUGAUACUGGCUGGAUACUGGAUACAGAUGAGAUCGUUCCUUUGCUCACACCCUCCGAGAGUAAAAGCUAAAGGAGCAGUUCUCGUCAUGUCUGUGGGUUAUCAAGCUGAAGGCAUUUUCAAUGACACAAUGGAAUUAGUUCUGUAAUUACUUUUGCCACACAAACCGACAACUU